UGCCACAAUCGUCAUCUCUCCCCUCUCCUCUGGCGCUCUCUCUCCAGCCGAAGUCAGUCACAAGCAGAAGCUCCACGGACAUCACUGAAGGAAGCCUUUCUCUCUUAUUUCUGAAGUGAUGAAACAAAACCUAACCACCUUGGGCUCCAUGCACCAUUUCCUUCAGGGCAUCGCUCAGGAAGAUCCCACAUGCCGCAGAGCAACGAAGCCUGCGCACCACAACCACUGAGCCUGUGCUCUAGAGCCUGCGAGCCACAACUACUGAGCCCGCGCACCUAGACCCCGUGCUCCGCAACAAGAGAAGCCACCGUGAUGAGAAGCCCGUGCACCACAAUGAAGAGUAGCCCCUGCUUGCCACAACUAGAGAAAGCCUGUGCACAGAAACUAAGACCCAACGCAGCCAAAAAUAAAAAAUUAAAUCUUUAAAAAAAAAU